GAUGAACGCUGGCGGCGUGCCUAAUACAUGCAAGUCGAGCGAACAGACGAGGAGCUUGCUCCUCUGACGUUAGCGGCGGACGGGUGAGUAACACGUGUAUAACCUACCUAUAAGACUGGGAUAACUUCGGGAAACCGGAGCUAAUACCGGAUAAUAUAUUGAACCGCAUGGUUCAAUAGUGAAAUACGGUUUUGCUGUCACUUAUAGAUGGAUCCGCGCCGCAUUAGCUAGUUGGUAAGGUAACGGCUUACCAAGGCAACGAUGCGUAUCCGACCUGAGAGGGUGAUCGGCCACACUGGAACUGAGACACGGUACAGACUACUACGGGAGGCAGCAGUAGGGAAUCUUCCGCAAUGGGCGAAAGCAUGACGGAGCAACGCCGCGUGAGUGAUGAAGGUCUUCGGAUCGUAAAACUCUGUUAUUAGGGAAGAACAAAUGUGUAAGUAACUAUGCACGUAUUGACGGUACCUAAUCAGAAAGCAACGGCUAACUACGUG
rnacentral:rRNA from 1 species